AGAUGUUUUGGGACUACAACUCCCAGUAUCCCUGACCUGCCCUGUUAGCUAGGGAUGAUGGGAGUUGUAGUCCCAAAACAUCU